rnacentral:lncRNA from 1 species
GGGCAGCGUGUUUCAUAAUGCAUCACUUUAAGGAACUAUUUUUCAAAGUAGUUCAGUAUUUUUUACUUUAUGGGACGGAGUGGUGGUCUGAUAAGCAAUCCUUCCGACCGGCGGAACGCGCGGCGCCGUCAGAACCAUAUGCUAAGCAAGGCAGACCUCGCUUUCCCCUUUAUUCAGUUCUUUACAUGUUAACUAAGCAGCGAAUACAGAGCGAUCACCUCGUUAUACGUUACAUAGGUCUGGGAUUAGAGCGAGGAUAAAAGGCAAGACCCUGCCAUAAAUACAAAGUGUAUCUCGGAAGUCCGCUCCAGAACCAGUACAGGUAUCCCGCCAAACUACGAUAUGCAGGAGUUCUGGACGAGAUAUCAACACUCCCCCGCGGACAGAACUCUGGCACACCCCAGAAGAAAACUCAACGAACUCCCAUGCACUCUCGGAAUUUCGAAAACUUGACCAAAGCCAACGGCUUCGUCAGCACAUCUGCAAUCAUAUCGUGAGAAGGGCAAUACUGGAACGAUACACUACCCGAACUCUCCUUUUCUCGAACAAAGUGGUGGAUCACGUCUAUGUGCUUUGACCGCUCUGACGUGAUGGGGUUGCGGAUCAGGGCUAUAGCACCUUGACUAUCGUCCUUGAUCUCAACGGCCCGUACCUCGUAGCCCAAAUCCCUCAUCAACUUACGCAACCAAACUGCCUCCCGCGUUGCUGACGCAGCAGCCAUGUACUCGGCUUCAACCGACGAUGCAGCGACAGUAGGUUGUAGCCUGCUCUUCCAACUUAUGGCGCCCCCAUUCAGAAUAAAGACAUAGCCGGUGGUGGAUCGCCGACUAUCUGGAUCACUGGCCCAGUCAGAAUCCGCAUACCCCACCAAAGACUGCGAACCGCAAAAAACAAUACCAUACNNNNNNNNNNNNNNNNNNNNNNNNNNNNNNNNNNNNNNNNNNNNNNNNNNGCGUCGUAGAGUAGCUGGUGCCCUUUCUGAUUCUCGCUGUGGAUCUUCUUCAGAUAUGCCCAUCCAGCAGCUGAUGUCGCGCACUGAUCAAUCUCCUGAAGGAACUUGUCGCCGACCAUCAUGAUCAGCGCGGCCUUCGCCAUUAAACCUUUCUCGACAGAGGUAAUAGGAGCAGAGUUGACUACAUCCCAAUAACCAUCCAGAAUCAGGGCAUUUCUUGCCCUCGGCUCCCAUUGCGGGUAGUCGGCGAUCGACUCCAACUUCGGGACCCGCUUCGAUUGUUCGGCCAUUUCGCAAAUCCGGCUGUAUGUAGCCUCCCUGCCUGCAGCCAGGCUCAAAUGUACCAGAGCCGCUCUUAUCCUGAGACUGCAAUCCCGCAGUUGGCUGGUUCCGGCAGACCGCGACACUAUCCUUGCGCGGGGCUCAUAACCUGUUAACUAAGCAGCGAAUACAGAGCGAUCACCUCGUUAUACGUUACAUAGGUCUGGGAUUAGAGCGAGGAUAAAAGGCAAGACCCUGCCAUAAAUACAAAGUGUAUCUCGGAAGUCCGCUCCAGAACCAGUACAGGUAUCCCGCCAAACUACGAUAUGCAGGAGUUCUGGACGAGAUAUCAACACUCCCCCGCGGACAGAACUCUGGCACACCCCAGAAGAAAACUCAACGAACUCCCAUGCACUCUCGGAAUUUCGAAAACUUGACCAAAGCCAACGGCUUCGUCAGCACAUCUGCAAUCAUAUCGUGAGAAGGGCAAUACUGGAACGAUACACUACCCGAACUCUCCUUUUCUCGAACAAAGUGGUGGAUCACGUCUAUGUGCUUUGACCGCUCUGACGUGAUGGGGUUGCGGAUCAGGGCUAUAGCACCUUGACUAUCGUCCUUGAUCUCAACGGCCCGUACCUCGUAGCCCAAAUCCCUCAUCAACUUACGCAACCAAACUGCCUCCCGCGUUGCUGACGCAGCAGCCAUGUACUCGGCUUCAACCGACGAUGCAGCGACAGUAGGUUGUAGCCUGCUCUUCCAACUUAUGGCGCCCCCAUUCAGAAUAAAGACAUAGCCGGUGGUGGAUCGCCGACUAUCUGGAUCACUGGCCCAGUCAGAAUCCGCAUACCCCACCAAAGACUGCGAACCGCANAAAACAAUACCAUACGCUAAUGUGCUCUUAACGUACCGCAAGACGGACUUGGCAGCCUCCCAAUGUGAAACGGCAGGCUUCGACAUAAAACGUGCGAGUUUAUAGACAGCCUGCGCGAUAUCAGGCCUUGUACAGACUGCAAGGUACAUUAAACCACNN